rnacentral:lncRNA from 1 species
CUUUAAGUGAUUGUUUACAUACUGUGGACUGUCUCAAAUGUGCUGAGACAAGUCAGGUAGCUGAAGCAAACUAGCUUCAUUCUGCGAUAAGCAACUGGAGUGGAGAUUCACCACACACUAGACUCUUGAACAUGUCUCUUUAUGGCCUAACUGCAAUGAAGAUCUUAACACAUGAUGUCCAGAAUGAAGCUUCCAUGGCAUCAGUUUGGACCAGCACUGCUAUUUGGCUCCUGCUGAGGAAAAAGGACCAGUCUUGUUGGCGACUAUUUAAUCCUGAUUUAUUUUCUGCCCUGAGUAUCUUUCAGGUAUUGUAGUCUUGCAAAGACAGACAGAAACGCAACAUCUCCCCAUUUAGUAUCUGACUGUCUUCCAAUAGUCUGCUGGGGGAUCAGGUUCACAUCUCCAGGCAGCUGGGGCUAACAUGGCACCUGGUAGCGCAAACCAGCAAGGAAAACUGAACACAGUGUCCUCCCAAACAAUAAUUGCUGUUCAAGACGACAGCAGAAUCUCUCUGAUUAUUAGAAUAUGUAACUGGAGCAAGAGAUAUGUCCUUCCUUUUCUGGUCUAACACUUAUUCUGCUUGCCAAGAAAGACAUUUAGCUUGAGGUUAUUGAUAGCAUGAAGGAAAUUUUCAUUUCCCUUUGAGUAAAGAUAUUCUG